CUACAGGUAACGAUUCAAUUCCCUGGGGAUGCCAAGCAGAAGAUUUGCCACCAUGUCACGACUUUAUCACCAUCCACUCAGCCUUCCGCCUUCCCUCCUCAUCCCAGCUGGUAAGAAGAUUUAUAGGCACCAUAAAUUGACUUUAUUAAAUUGACAGAGUAAGGCCUUUGACACUGUUUCACAUGACUUACUCCAAUACAAAUAAAAAGGAAAUGUGGGGUGGAUUUUGCCACCGCAAGACUGGUGCGCCACUACUUGGGAACUAUCCUAAAAAAGGUGUUCAGUUUCUCUCUACCUACCUACCAUGGUGUAAAAAACGAGGGAUCAUGCUGUUCUCUUCUGCUGCCUCUGGUCCUCUUUAGUUUCUUUGAGUUGAGCAGAAGAAUGGUAGAUAUGCUUCUGAAAUGUGGGGAUAAUUCCAAAAUGAGGAAAUUUGCAAGAAUUUAUCCGAGUAUGGGCUCAUUGUUUAGAAUCCCAACUAAUCUACAGUGGGGAUGCGUAAAUAGAAACAGGUGAGAUUUAAUUUAGCAGCGGUUUGACUUCACCCCUGGAGGCACAUUGUCUCUUGAGAUGGACGGGUGCCAACAACUCCUGCAAGGCACGAUCUGCAAGGCAUUGUGUGGGUUACCCCUGUUUUAAACAACAUUUACCUGGCUUGGGCUGUGGCAGCAGUGAGAAGAGGGAAGCAGGAAAACGUUCUCUCUCCCUCUCCCCAUCUCUCUGGCACACUGGUAGCACACAAAGCCUUAUUGUGAAAUUUGAAGCAAAUUUUGGAUGAACACAUCCAACGAAUUUGAAAGGGAAGCCAAACAAAAGCUGAGUAAGUCUGAAAUAAGGUCAGGGUGUGUGUGCUUGUGUAUGCAUGUAGCCAUUGGGGUGAGAUCUUCCUGAUGAAAACAAAACUCAGAGCAAACUCUGGAGAUUGUUUCUCAGAUGAACGUGCUGAAGAGUUCCAGGGGAGGUCACGGCAGUCUUGAUAAGAGUAACAUUUCUCAGAAGGGAUUUGCAUGUUCCUGGUUAGAUAAAGUGUCGUUCCUGACAACCGCUGGAGCAACUCUCAUUGCUUCAUGUUACAGCAAUAACCUAGAAAAGCUAUUCAAGCAAAGGCUAUACCCAGCUUUCUCUCCAUAAUAAUGUACAGACCUGACCACAGCUUUCCUUUUUAGAAAGUACAGAAGUUUGGCUUUCCCUCGUGCUUCUGAACAAGAGAGCUCAAAAUAGUUCCACUGGAAAGGUAGAUGAUUUUAUUUUAUACAUAAACACACACACACAAAAACAGAUGGAUUGUUUUAGACCAUUUUACCCGCUUCACUCUGAUUCAGUUUUUCCAUAACAUUUCAGUCAUUUCUGGUGGCAAGUGGCCUCUAAUUUUGGCUUAUUCAGUGGAAAUUAGCAGUAAUAACAUAAUGGACACACUGGUAUGUGCCCUCAGGAGCCCUUCUGAAGGCAAAUUUAAUUGUUAAGUGAAAAUAGAUUGAUAGUCUCAGCUCCUCCUGCAAAUACGUGUAAGAGCUGUGGCGAGUUGCUCAAGCCAUUCUUAUUGUCUCGCUGCAGUAUAUGACACAAGCAAUAAAAGAACUUUAUUUCGGGAGUUAGGCAUGGUUUUUGAAGAUGGCAGUUUGGCCAUUUGGCCAUUUCACCUGUAGCAGCUGGUGAGGUUGGCAGGAUGGGGGUCGGUUGCGUUCUUGGCUUCCCAACCCAGAAGGCAACCCAGAGGGAGAGCAGACGGUCCAGGAAUCAGUGUGUUUUUACAUGAGUAGAAUGUGUCCUUUUAUUUAAAAUAUAUCUCUGGGUUAUUUGUGGGGCACAGGAAUUCAUUCAUAUUUUUUCCCCAAGAUAUAGUCCGGCCCUCUGUAUGGUCUGAGGGAUGGUGGACUGGUCCCUGGGCUAAAAGGGGCCAGGAGAAAUGCUUGUAAUUGUUGUGAGAGCCAGUGUGGUGUAGUGGUUAAGAGUGGUAGUCUUGUAAUCUGGGAAACUGGGUUUGCGUCUCCGCUCCUCCACAUGCAGCUGCUGGGUGACCUUGGGCCAGUCACACUUCUUUGAAGUCUCUCAGCCCCACUCACCUCACAGAGUGUUUGUUGUGGGAGAGGAAGGGAAAGGAGAAUGUUAGCCGCUUUGAGACUCCUUAAAGGGAGUGAAAGGUGGGAUAUCAAAUCCAAACUCUUCUUCUUCUUGUCAGCCACCCCUGAAAAUCCCCCAAAUGCCCCCUUUUCCCGACUGUGGUUGGACUACAAAAUUGAGAAGGAGGGAUUUUGGCCCAGCACCAAACAUAUCCUAAAUCAAUAAAGUGUUCAAACCACAGAAUAUCCUCAUGGGACUCUCUGUGCCUGGAGAGAGAAGGAUUGUAGCCUUGGGUAUAUACAUAUACAUAUAUUUGGCAAUACCUGCAAUGACUCUGCUUGUGAAUCUUGCCAAGGAAAAAAGAGAGCAUCACCGGAGAUAUAUUGAGGAUGUCAACAUGCAGUGAUCUUGUUUUUGCUGAUCUCCUUUAGCUGCAUGGGCACAAAGCUGGUGCCAGAAGGUGGCUAUGCCAGGGGCUUGCUAGCGUCCCCAGACUGAAAAUGGAAAUCAGAGAGCAGCAUGGCAUAAUUCUUUGUGUGCACAUCUUCACUCUCCUAGGUUAAGGGGGCUUAAUGUUUAAGAGGUUUCCUGCUAGAAGACCCCCAUAGCCCUAGAGCCAUUAAACCCAUGGAUGCCCAGCAUUUGUGGUUCUUGUGGUUCACGGUAAUUCCAUUUACAGUGAACUCCUCUGAAGUUUAUCCCCUCUUGCCUCCCUCUCCCAGGAGACUGGAGGAGACUGGAACAUGGAAAAUAGCAUGUCAGGAAGAAGGUUUCCAGCUUAACCUUGAGUGGGGGAGUCAACAUCACACAUGCUUCCUGUAUUAAAUUAAUUUCCACAUAUAAUAAUCGAAUUAUAGAGUUGGAAGAUACCCUGAGGAUCAUAUAGUCCAACUCCUUCAGUGUAGGAAUAUGCAGCUGUCCCAUACGGGGAUCGAACCUGCAACCUUGGCAUUAUCAGCACCACGCUCCAACCAGCUGAGCCACCUUCAGGCUCAUAUUUAUGUAGGUUCUCCUGAGUAGGUUCUCCCAUUUUGCUUCCUUCCUCUGGGAAACUUUGGGAAGGAAGGGCCCAUGAAGAACCAACAUCAAACAUGAUUCCUGUAUUUAUUUAAAUUCUAGUUUAAAGGUAAAGGACCCAGAUGACUCUGGGGUUGCAGCACUCAUCUCGCUUUACACACCGAGGGAGCUGGCGUUUGUCCACAGACAGUUUUUCCGGGUCAUGUGGCCAGCAUGACUAAGCUGCUUCUGGCGAACCAGAGCAGUGCAUGGAAACGCGAUUUACCUUCCCGCUGGAGCAGUACCUAUUUAUCUACUUGCACUGGUGUGCUUUCGAACUGCUAAGUUGUCAGGAGCUGGGACUGAGCAACGGGAGCUCACUCCGUCGUGAGGAUUCGAACUGCCAACCUUCUGAUCUGCAAGCCCAAGAGGCUCAGUGGUUUAGACCACAGCGCCACCGGCGUCCCUAACAAAAUUCUAGUUAGAGUUCUCUUUUAAACAGGUUCUCUCUUUUCACUCCCCUCCCCCAGGAGAUUUUGAGGAACCCCACACAUGGAAGAAAGGUUCUACCCUUGACAUUCACCAUAGGAGCCAACUCCUACGGGCCAAGGUCCCUUUGGCCCCUCCAUAAAAUAUUUGAGGGGGCUCCCCCCCCAGUUCAUGAGUAUUCAUCAAAUGGCGAGUGAACACUGUAUCGUGUGAUUGAUUAUGUGGGGCAGGGCUUACCUGGCCCCCCCGCCCCUCAAUAUUUUAUACAAGUUGGCAUCCCUGACAUUCACCCGUGGAGAAUCAGCAUCAAACAUGCUUCCUGCGUUUAAUUAAAUUCCAUUUAGAAUGAUCUCCUGUGCAAAGUCUCCCCCCCCCCAAAUAAACUUUGGGAGCCAGGAGCAUCCUUGCCAGGCAUGCUCACCUCUAUCUACAAAUGGGAAAGGCGCAGAAGCAGCUGAGCAGACCUCACGUCAGCCUAUGGGAAUCAAUGAACAAUUAAUUACUAUCAUCAAGUGGUACUCUACUCCGGGAAGACAGCGCACUUAUAUUUAUCAAUUACUAAUUAGUAGCUCUUGCCCAGCUGACAGUUGUCUGUCAGCCAGGAGAAAAGCCGCAGUGUGUGGCUCUCCAAAGUGGUCGGUUCUUAGCGGUAAUUAGUGGAGCUCUACUAUGGCUCUGGGUCUUGUUUUGUUUUGAAAUCCUUUCCUAACAAGGCUGGGACUUCCAAAGGGAUCCUCAGGCAUCUCGGUGCCAUUCUCCUGAUUAAUUUCAGGGUGUGUUUGUGCAUGCGUUGGGCCUUCAACAUCCGCUUUCCUUUGCAAGUCCUUCCCUGAAUCUUAGAAAUCUUCCCAGAAUCUUCAUUGUGGGGGAUGAAACACAUGCAUAGUUUUUCAGAUUAAUUUGGCUCGGAUAUAGGGAUGCACAGACCUGCCAAUUUCAGCUUCUCUUUCCCCCAGUGUUCAGUUCAGUUCUCCCCAUUUCUGUAGCGAUUGCCAAUGUGUUUGUUUUGAGAAAUCCUCGUGAAAAUCUGUCAGCGUUUGAGUGCAAAUUUCUUCUAACUAACACAUAGUUGCAUGCGGUUUGGAAUGACAGACCCAUCCCUGAAAGCAAUUUUCUCUGAUAUAAUGCAUUUUGUGUAUGUUAUUUUCACUAAGCGCUCAGCUAGACUGGUAAAGAAACAGCGAUUUAUAUGCACUGUAUGUAUGGUGCAACAUUGUGCCACCAGAUGGCGAUGUGGAGUUCUGCUUUUCUCUACCGGUUUUCCCUGUUUAAAUUUACAACGCUUUGAACUGAAAUGCUUCUUUGAUGUGUCUAGAUGAGGCCUAAGAUGUGUGUUUUCCCACAAUAUGUGCAUAUUGUUUGGUGGGAGGACUGCAUUGGAGAAGUGCAAAUUUUGAAGGAUACCUGUGUUCUGGUUCUCGAGAAGUACAAAUUAAAUCAUAUGUCAGUGGUUGGCCCUGUCUCCCUCCCUAUUUCUCUCCAGUACACCUGGAGAUGGGCGGGUAGGUUUCCUCAAGGAGUAUGGUGGCAGAAAAGACUAUGUUUCUACAGGGCAUUGUAUGAGUAAUGGCAGCUGCCUGAUACUCAUUGAUGCAUCAGGCUAAUAAAAUAAUAAUAAUAAUAAUAAUAAUAAUAAUAAUAUUUUAUUUAAACCCUGCCCAUCUGGCUGGGUUGCCCCCUAGUGGUGUGAGCAGUGUGGAGGCUGCCACUGUGAUUGAGAGCAGCACUUUUACCUUACAGGAUUGUGCUGAGAAAAUGUAUCUGAAGAUUCUUCAUCACUUUAAGCCAAUGGUGGGAAACCUCAGGUCUGGGGGCCACAUGCAGCCCCCCCAGGCCACUCUGUCUGGCCCUUGAGACUCUUCCCAGACCACCCACUCACUAGCCCAACUUUGAACCCUUCUUGAGAGUUUUUGCCUGGCUGCAAUGUCUCCUUGAACUCAACGCUUCCUGCUGGUCUGCAUGACAAAUAUAAAGAGGUUUGUGUGUGUGCAGAAACUAGCCUAGGGUACAGGUAAAAAUUACAUUUGUUGCUCCAAUCAUUUCCCCCUCUAGCUUCCCACACCCCUCUUCUCCUAAGCACAAAUAGAAAUAGACAAUAAUGAAUAUUGUCAUUAUUCUUAACUUACAUGAAAUGUAAUAGUGGCCUACUGAUAGUUUACUGUCAAGGGAUGACUAAAAGCUUAUUGCUUCUUCAGUAGCUUUUUGUAUAGCUUAACCCAGGGGUGGGGAACCUGUAGCCCUCUAGAAAUUGCUGGACUACAACUCCCAUCAUUCCUGAACAUUGAUCAGACUGAUGGGAGUUGUAGUCCAGCAACAUCUGGAAAGCUACUGGCUCCCCUGCUUUCAACAUAGACAUGAUGAACGUGAAAGAACUCAUCAGAAAUAAUGCAUGCCAAACUCCAUCAGCUUUGUAACCACAAGCAGAAGAUACUUAAUUUCAAAACUCAACAAGUCAGCCGCUGGAGUUUAGAACCUCAGAAAUCUCAUCAAACCCUGAAGCCCACGGAGAAAAUUCUUCCUGAGAUCAUGGUUGCAUAGCGAUUCCCUCCCCCCUUCCCAGUUUAAACAACAGUUUAAAUAUUAGACUUUCCCAGGAAGGGAAAUAUCUCUUCUCACCUGACAUUGCUAAAACCCCUGGCUCCUUGCUGAGUAGAUUAUUAAUGGCAGGGACCAUUUAAUCUCUCCUGGGUAAGGCAUCCAAAAGAGUCACACUGUUGAUCCAGACGCAAGUCAACAUGUUAUCGCUGCCGUGACGUUAUCACUGCCCCUAACAGUAAGCGGGUUGGGGGUGGGCAGGAGGAGGUUAGUAACCUGGUUCCUUCACAUUGUAAUGUGUGCAUCCCAAGUUGCCGUUUGCAAUUAACUUGCUCAAACAAAACUCAUAUAAAUCAAUCAUGCCUGGGCUAAUAAAUAAAUCUUUGAUCAGUGACUAUCUGGUAAAUGUGUAGACAUGGGUCAGUACCUCAGAUUUACAGCACUUCCUUGCUGGGCAGCAGGAUUAAAACAAAGACUAAUGGGUUGUCAUGUCUUCUUAUUUAAAACUUGUGCAGCAAUGCCAUUGUCGGGGGCCCUGUAUCAUUUUAUUUGCAGUCAUGUAGCUGUCCCUCCAAGUUAGGGGCUUUCAGUUAUUUACUUUUCAGUCUCCCCCCUCAAUGCUUCCAACAACAACAGCAGCAACAACAACAACAACAACAUAAUAUAUUUGAAAGAUUAACAAGAGUAAGCAAUGGAAGCAGCUAUAAAUUCUUGGAACGUGGCACACAUUUUUUCCUAGAUUCAAAUCAGAGGCACAUUUUGGUCUUCAGUUUUGUUUGUUUCAAAGCAUAUAUUUUCUCAAUCAGAUUCCAAACUUUUGGGCAUGCAUCGUCAUUAUGAUGAGAAAGGUAGGUAAAAUUCCCCUACUCAGAUUGGCCUAGGUAUAUGCUUUUGGAGCAAAGGUGAUGCUUCUGGGAUCUCCCUGCUAUGUGGGUUUUGCACCAGAGAAUUCUACUGUGCCUCACAUAGGAAGGGACCUUAUCUGUGGCCCAUAAGGGAAACUGGGGGACUGCCCCGUCAACCUUAGCCUGACCUCAGCCAGCUCCCACCUGCCUGUCUAACUUAGCUGGGAACUGCAUUGCAAAAUUCAAAGAAAUUGAAUUUUGCACAAACAAAAAAGGAUAACAAUCUUCCAUUCUGCAUGUUAGGUACAGAUCAGGUCAGCUCAUGUUGGAAUUCAUGGGGAUCACAUCCCUUAAAAGUAAAGGGACCCCUGACCAUUAGGUCCAGUCAUGACCGACUCUGGGGUUGCGGUGCUCAUCUCGCUUUAUUGGCCAAGGGAGCUGGCCAGCAUGACAAAGCCGCUUCUGGCGAACCAGAGCAGCGCACGGAAACGCCGUUUACCUUCCCACCAAAGCGGUACUUAUUCAUCUACUUGCACUUUGACGUCCUUUCGAACUGCUAGGUUGGCAGGAGCAGGGACCAAGCAAUGGGAGCUACCCCGUCGCGGGGAUUCAAACCGCCGACCUUCUGCUCGGCAAGUCCUAGGCUCUGUGGUUUAACCCACAGCGCCACCCGCAUCCCUUAAGUAUUCCUAAAUCAGAGUUUGGGUGUGUGUGUGAAGGCUUCAAAACAGCACCAACGCCUUGGCUUCGGAAAUGGAACUUCCACGUAAGACCCGAGCUGAGGUUGGGAAGGAAAGUUCUGACACAGGGAUGUACAGAUUCAGAACACAUCGGCAAAUGAAAUCCAUGAUAAAAGAAGAGAAUGUGUUUGGCAGUUUCCAGCUAACUUGCCACUUGGCCAGGCAGCUGGGGGGGGGGUGUGGGGGUGGCCUUUUGCAGAUAAAAUCUGGUUAUAUAGAGCUGAUUCUCAUCAAUAUACCCUUUAGAAGAGUCCUCUCCCAUCUAAAAGCCUGCCUCAACAUUUGAGUGCUCACAAUUAAUCCAGGCAGUGCCAUGCUCUUGUUUUAAUGGCAUACAGACGCUUAGUCAUUUCCUCUGUCUUGUUUUCGCUUGAUGCUCCAGGGAGUAAUUACCCUGAUAUUUUGUCCCUUACCUUGGCAUCGUUAGACAUUUCUGCUAAUUCCAGAGCUGCAUUUCUUAAUCUAACUACUACUAAUUCCAGGAAUCUAACCCUGCACUUUAAUGGGCCUUUGCCAUCAGAGACUCUCCAAACACUUUGCAGUUUUCAUGAUAUGCCAGGCACAUCAUGGCACAACAACAGAGCAUGCUUCUCUCAGGGGAGGAUAUUUAGGCCUGUAAGCAGUAAAGGGGUGAGGGAGAUAAAACAAACAUCUGCCCAGAAUUUCUGACCAAAUGUUUGCUAUAUCCUUUCGGUUCAGAAAUCGUAGGUAAAAGAAGGGGGGACUGCAGCAAAAUGUUGCAGUGCAGAGUGCUCCUUCUCAGUGUCUCAGUCAGGUUUUUUUUAAAAAAAGCACAAUUCCAUUCCAUCAACUAAGCAUGCUCAGAUCUCACUGGGUAAUUUGUUGAGGUUCACACUUUUUUUAAAUAAAGAAAAGUUUGUAUCCCUGACCUUGAGGUUGCCAUGAGUCUUCAGAUAAUUCUUUCCUGUGCACUGGGUCUGUGUGCAGUUUUAUUUACAGAAGCAACAGCUUUCACAACCUGAACAUCAGAUACAAAGGGAAUGAAAAGACUCUGUCUUUCAUAUUUCCCUUUUAAUUCCAUAUUACAGUAACACACCAGACCCAAGGUAGCCUCAGAAAAUAAGCAGCUUUGCAAUUAGCUCCUCCCUGCCCUUGCUCAGUUAGAACUGGGCCACAAAGAUUAGUCAACUCUCAGAGCCAAGUAUGGACGGUUCUGUGACCCUGAUAUAAUUUUAUACCCAGAAUACUCAUUUGAAGUCAGAUUGAGAAAUUGGCAUUCCAAGCACCACCCACUCAUUUUCAGGAAAAGAAUUUAGUUCAUUGUCUUUACCCUGAAUAAACAUUACCAUUGGCAUAUCUUAAAGUUUCCAAGCAUUGUGAUGUGCACAGGUGCAUUCUUUUAUGUUACAGGGAAACAGUUAAUGUGCAAGAAAAAAAAUUGUGUGCAAAGUGCAAACAUUGUGAUGUGCAAGAAAAACAUUGUGUGCAAAGUCACCUUUAGACCCAUACUUGGGCCAGAGCUCAAAAUGCAAGGGCCAUCUUAGAAGAUAAAUCUGAGAAGUGACAAAUUCUGGUCUCAAGGGUUCUGAAUGUGAGAUGAAGCAAUCCAUUUCUCCCAUCCAUUCAUGCAACUGUAUGUUAAAGAGUAGAUUGGCAAGCCUUAAUCUGGUAGCUGAUGCAGUGGCAAAGAACUGAGAAGUACCAGGUUCAAAUCUCGCUCCAUCCAUGAAUUUACAUAGCCAUUAUCUCUCAACCUCCAACUUAGGCUGCAUAAACGUCACACAUUUAAAGCACAUGACUUCCCCCCAAAGAAUCUUGGGAGCUGUAGUUUGCUGAGAGUGCUGGGAAUUGCAGAUCUGUGGAGGGUAACCUAAAGUCCCCAGGAUUCUUUUGAGAAAGUCCUGAGCUUUAUAGAUGUGCUAUAAAUGUACAGGGCAUGCUCAGGCUUAAGGACCUGCGCCAGCACUGUUGACUUCAGCACUUUGGACAGCUGCCAGGGUCAUGAGCCCCAGCAAGACCCACCUUGGUGGUGGAUAGUACAAACCACCAUUUAUACCCACUUUGGAAGAAUGGCAGAUGAAGGUGAUUGACUACAUGGAAUUGGUGGAAAUGACUGGCAGAAUCCGAGACCAGGGAGAAGAGUCGGUGAAAGAAGACUGGAAGAAAUUUAAAGACUAUUUACAGAAAUAUUGCAAAAUUAAGGAAUCUUAGAAGGAUGUUGGAUAGAAACUAAGAGGUUUUUAGCUGUAAUGCUUUAAGAGAUAUGAAAAACGGUUAACAAUUGGGUAAAAGUUUAAUGGUAAGGAUUUGCUGAACUAACAAACUGAACUGGAAUACAAAAAAGGGAGGUAUGAGGAGGUCCGGGGAAAUAAGUGUAGGGAAGAUAGGUUUGGAAAAUCAAUGUCUUUUUAACUGUUUUAUUUUGUAUGUUUCCUUUUUAUUCUUUAUUUUUUUGUUAUAUUUUAAAAACGUUAUUCUUUUUUUUGUACUCUGUAUUUUUUUUUUGUAUUUCUUGAAACUUUAAUAAAUAUCAUUUAAAAAAAACCACAAACAAACCACCAUUUAAAAUGUACGAACAUAUAAUUGUUGCCAGACGGGGAGGGGGAAUUUCUUCAGGACUCUCCCUGAGUUACUCCCCACACCCCUGCUGGACCUUUUUUUUUUUUUUGCCUGGGUGUGGUGUAUCCUUGAACUCUGUAGCUCUCAGUUGCCACUACGGAGCACAGAGAGGGGGGUGUCCAUGGGUGUGAAACUAGCCCGCAGUAGAAAUGCAAAAUGUGCAUUCAUUGCUCUGAUCACUUUUCCUUCUGACCCCAUCCAGAGCUGCCAUGUGGUCUGUGGAAGGUUACCCAAGGGAAUUCUCUGCUCUGGGGCAUUGUGGGAAAUUAAAUUAGCAGCCCUGACCAGCUCUGAUCAGAAGAGGAGAACUGCUUUGCAAAACUAUCCAAGGAGCCUACUGUGGAGCCCUGGGCUGAAGACUUGCUGUUUUUGUUGGGUUCAAUUGCAUCUUGUUAUUCCAGUUGCCAGUGUCCUUGGGACCAGUGGGAUAUUCAAACAAGCCUGCAAGCCAAGACCCAGCCUUGCGUACAAAUAGGGAGCCAACCCCUAAUAUACCUUGAGUAACUUUCCCCAGCCUUGACUCCUCAGCUAGUGUUGGACUACAAAUCCCCAACCAGCACAACCAGUGACCAAGGAUGAUUGUAUUUCUAAUCAAGCAUCAUCUGAAGACCUCAGGGUGGGGAAGGCUGCCCUAGAGAAAGUGAAAAAGUACCAAGAAGCUGAGGCCUGGACUGCAGCAGGGAUUGCCCAUUUGAAAAGCAGCCAAGCUCCUAGUCCUCAUGCCAGAACUGGCCAGUACAGGGGCUUUGCACUGCCUUCCAGGGGUAGAGGCUAAUUUUGCACACCCUAUUCACUUCCAUUGGUGCUGGAGGAGACUCUUGAGAGUCCCAUAGACUGCAAGAAGAUCAAACCUAUCCAUUCUGAAGGAAAUCAGCUCUGAGUGCUCACUGGAAGAACAGUUCCUGAAGCUGAGGCUCCAAUACUUUGGCCACCUCAUGAGAAGAGAAGACUCCCUGGAAAGCACCCUGAUGUUGGGAAAGAUGGAGGGCACAAGGAGAAGGGGACGGCAGAGGAUGAGAUGGUUGGAUAGUGUUCUCGAAGCUACCAGCAUGAGUUUGACCAAACUGCGAGAGGCAAUGGAAGACAGGAGUGCCUGGCGUGCUCUGGUCCAUGGGGUCACGAAGAGUCGGACAUGACUAAAUGACUAAACAACAACAACAUUCACUUCCAUGUUUAGAGAGAACCCUGAGGUUCAUGUGCACACACUCCUAGACAACUCAUCAAGCUACUUCUGAGCCUCUAACCAGGAGUUCCUGCAUUUCCUGGAGGUGAACGGAAUACUGAUCUGCCUUGCCAGACUGUUGUGGAGAUUACUCCAGAAUGAGCUCUACCAAUGUAGUUAUAAUCAUCAACACAAAAUGUGCAUCCCUCCAUCUCUCAAGAGGUAUAGCCUUACUGCUGAAAGACAGAAAAUAGACAUCAACUGAAUUUUACUAUCCAUUGCAGAGGCUUCUAGCUCCCUCAAAGGCUGUUUGAUCAUGCUUAAAUCAUUCUGACCUGGAAUAUGAAUGACUGAGCCAAAGGAACAACGCCCCCCCCCCACUUUCUCUCCUGCUCAAGCGUGACAACAAAUCAAGUCAAAUGGAUUCGUUUCCCCCUCCCCCUUUAAAAGAAACACAUGCUCAAAUACAAAUUAAAUGUCCGCAUUCCCUUAGGUUUCAUUAAUACUUUUAUUAGUCUUAUCUGACUCAUUCCUAUUCGGCCCUCCGCUUUGUCACCAAAACCCUGUGGGAUGGUAAACACAUCUUUGUACUUUAUCUUUUAACCUCCGAGUAACCUUUGUCCUUGGACUCCUAGCAACUUUCAGGACCUAAAAGCAUUACAAAUGGGGAAAGUACUUAUAAUGAUUAAUCUUGUUGGCUGGAGUCAUUAUGAAUAGAUGCUCCCUCAGAACUACAGGGAAGGGGGCUGGCCCCCUGACAUCACCACGGACUUGCACCUAAGCGUUUCUUGUUAGUGGGCUGUCCUCAGGCGGCAGGGGGCUGGUGGUCUCUGAAGAUGGCUGCCAACCAUGUUCUACUCAGGGCAGUCCCUUGGGAAUGAAUAACAAAACCACAGAAUUAUAGAGAUGGAAAGGAUGUUGAGGGUUAUCUAGCCCAACCCUCUGCAAAUGGAUUUAAGCUAGUCAUGUCCAGGGAAUGCAAUGUGUCUACUCUGACUAACAUUGGAGGAGGAGGAGGAGGAAGAAAAUAGGAUAAUAAUAUACAGUGGUACCUCAGGUUAAGUACUUAAUUUGUUCCAGAGGUCCGUUCUUAACCUGAAACUGUUCUUAACCUGAAGCACCACUUUAGCUAAUGGGGCCUCCUGCUGGCGCUGCACCACCAGAGCACAAUUUCUGUUCUCAUCCUGAAGCAAAGUUAUUAACCAGAGAUACUAUUUCUGAGUUAGCGGAGUCUGUAACCUGAAGCGUAUGUAACCUGAAGCGUAGGUAACCCGACGUACAACUGUAUUAAGGAUGGAAUAACAAAUAAAGUGAAUAAAGCAAGAGUAACAAAAAAAAUAGGGACAUGGGUGGUGCUGUGGGUUAAACCACUGAGCCUAGGGCUUGCCGAUCAGAAGGUCGGCGGUUCAAAUCCCCGUGACGGGGUGAGCUCCCAUUGCUCAGUCCCUGCUCCUGCCAACUUAGCAGUUUGAAAGCAUGUCAAAGUGCAAGUAGAUAAACAGGUACCACUCCAGCGGGAAGGUAAAUGGCGUUUCCGUGCGCUGCUCUGGUUCGCCAGAAGCGACUUAGUCAUGCUGGCCACAUGACCCGGAAGCUGUACACCGGCUCCCUCGGCCAAUAAAGCGAGAUGAGCGCCGCAACCCCAGAGUCGGCCACGACUGGACCUAAUGGUCAGGGGUCCCUUUACCUUUUAACAAAAAUAAUAGGAGGUAAAGAAGAUCGCACAUGGGUUGGAUGGAAGUACUGGGCUGUGGGGAAGGGAGGUGAAGGUGUUAACUGAAAUUGUUAAAGAUUGGUAUAAGAUUUAAGAAAUUUAGAUUUUUAUAAAGAUUCUAUAAGGAAAGCAGAAAGCAGCAAGAAAUAUCAAGUAAAAGUAUCAGAAAGGAGAUCAGUGUAAAUGAAAACAUGAGACUUAUGGUUUUGUUACAUAUGAUUUUAUUUUGGAGUUGUCUGCUUAUUUUGGAGUUGUUUGCUGUAAAGAAUGUAUAUUAUGU
rnacentral:lncRNA from 1 species